GUAGUUCUUUUUUAAUCUUAUAAUGUAAACCAUAAUCUUAAUGCUCAUGAAAUUUUGUAUCAACUUAUAAUUUGAGGUUUAUUGGUAAAAAUUAUGGUGUUAGUUAAAAAUAAUGUAAACAAUAAUUUGUAUGUGAAUUAUGAGAAAAGAAAACCAAAUAAAAAUCAUGAUAAAAGUAAAUGAGAAGGCUUAAAAAAAGACCUUCAGAUUAUCAUCAUCGUAAAAAAUUAAAACCUAAA
rnacentral:lncRNA from 1 species